rnacentral:lncRNA from 1 species
UGAAGUACCGAUGGGAGUUGAAAUAGCAGCAUGAAAGUUAUCCCGCUUAGCUCCAUGUUUUUCCAGUGAGUCAUUGGGAGGUGACUCGGUGGUUUUUGAAUGCAAUACUGAAGUCAAUCGUUCAAUUUCAGACCUGUUUUUUGUUGCAACAAUGAUUCAAGCUCUGAUAUCCCAGUGGCAGCAGACUCGCUAGCAGAAUUACCAUUUCCCCCUUCGUUCUGAAGAACGAUCUGGGGCUCUUUAUUAAUCUCUGGUAAGAACAUGCAAAGCAUAAAGAAAAAUUCAAGCAAAGCCCUAAGGAUAGAACAAGAGGACGCUUGCGGAAAACAUCAAACAGCCUAUGAGCACCGGCGUAAAUGAGUCUAGAAGCUGGUUCAACAACGAGCUUUUUGAGCAUGCUAGGGUUGUGGUUUCUGGCCGCUGACGGAGGGCGUGCAUAGGGUGUGGCUGGAACACUACGGCGGAGAGGUCGCUUGCGGAACUUGCCUCCGGCUCCGGUGGUUUCGUAG